rnacentral:rRNA from 1 species
GCGACCCCAGUCAUGCUGUCUCAAGGGC